GUAGGGUGCAAGCGUUAUCCGGAAUCAUUGGGCGUAAAGAGCUCGUAGGCGGUUCAGCAAGUCGGCUGUGAAAUCCCGAGGCUUAACCUCGGAACUGCAGUCGAUACUGCUGUGACUAGAGUCCGGUAGAGGAGAAUGGAAUUCCCGGUGUAGCGGUGAAAUGCGCAGAUAUCGGGAGGAACACCAGUAGCGAAGGCGGUUCUCUGGGCCGGUACUGACGCUGAGGAGCGAAAGCGUGGGGGUAGCAAACAGGAUUAGAUACCCUGGUAGUCCACGCCCGUAAACGUUGGACACUAGGUGUGGCGUUCCGACCCAACGGGUGCCGUGCCGAAGCUAACGCAUUAAGUGUCCCCGCCUGGGAGUACGGCCGCAAGGCUA
rnacentral:rRNA from 1 species